rnacentral:rRNA from 1 species
UACAGAGGUGGCAAGCGUUGUUCGGAAUUACUGGGCGUAAAGGGCGCGUAGGCGGCCUUCUAAGUCAGACGUGAAAUCCCCCGGCUUAACCUGGGAACUGCGUCUGAUACUGGGAGGCUUGAGUAUGGGAGAGGGAUGUAGAAUUCCAGGUGUAGCGGUGAAAUGCGUAGAUAUCUGGAGGAAUACCGGUGGCGAAGGCGGCAUCCUGGACCAUAACUGACGCUGAGGCGCGAAAGCCGGGGAGCAACAGG